GGAGAGGUCGCAUAGCGGUCUAGUGCGGUUGCUUGGAGAGCAACUAACGGGGAAACUCGUUCGAGGGUUCGAAUCCCUCCCUCUCCGCCA
rnacentral:tRNA from 1 species